GACGAACCGUGCGAACGUUAUUCGGAAUCACUGGGCUUAAAGCGCGUGUAGGCGGGACGGCACGUCGGUCGCUGAAAUCCCCCGGCUUAACCGGGGAACUGGCGUCGAUACGACCGCCCUGGAGGGCGUAGGGGGACCUGGAACUUCCGUGGAGCGGUGAAAUGCGUUGAGAUCGGAAGGAACGCCCGUGGCGAAAGCGAGGUCUGGACGCUACUGACGCUGAGACGCGAAAGCCAGGGGAGCGAA
rnacentral:rRNA from 1 species